rnacentral:rRNA from 1 species
UACGUAGGCAGCGAGCGUUGUUCGGAAUUACUGGGCGUAAAGAGUGUGUAGGCGGUGCUCUAAGUUCGGUGUGAAAUCUCCUGCUUAACUGGGAGGGUGCGCCGGAAACUGGAGUGCUCGAGCGUGGGAGAGGAAAGCGGAAUUACCUGGUGUAGCGGUGAAAUGCGUAGAUAUCAGGAGGAACACCUGUGGUGUAGACGGCUUUCUGGACCAUAGCUGACGCUGAGACACGAAAAGCCGUGGGUAGCAAACAGG